rnacentral:rRNA from 1 species
UACAGAGGGUGCGAGCGUUGUCCGGAAUCACUGGGCGUAAAGAGCGUGUAGGCGGCUAGGUAGGUCCGUUGUGAAAACUCGAGGCUCAACCUCGAGCUGUCGAUGGAAACCAUCUGGCUAGAGUCCGGAAGAGGAGAGUGGAAUUCCUGGUGUAGCGGUGAAAUGCGCAGAGUAUCAGGAAGAACACCCGUGGCGAAGGCGGCUCUCUGGUACGUGACUGACGCUGAGACGCGAAAGCGUGGGGAGCGAACAGG